CCCUUAGAUGUUCUGGGCCGCACGCGCGCUACACUGACGAAUGCAACGAGCUUAUAACCUUGGCCGAAAGGUCUGGGAAAUCUCCAAAUUUCGUCGUGAUGGGGAUAGAUUAUUGCAAUUAUUAAUCUUCAACGAGGAAUGCCUAGUAAGCGCAAGUCAUCAGCUUGCGUUGAUUACGUCCCUGCCCUUUGUACACACCGCCCGUCGCUCCUACCGAUUGAAUGGUCCGGUGAAGCGUUCGGACCGUGGCCUUUGGACGGUUCGCCGUCUGUUGGCUGCGGGAAGUUCGUUAAACCUUAUCAUUUAGAGGAAGGAGAAGUCGUAACA
rnacentral:rRNA from 1 species